rnacentral:lncRNA from 1 species
CCGGCCAUAGCAAGAACAAAGGAAGAAAAGAAGAGCACAAACCCUAGGUGGAAAAAUUCAAGGGAAAAGUGUGAAAAUUCAAGUAAUCAAGCAAUCAAAGGUAAAAUUUCUUGAUUUUGACUUGCGAUCUACCUUUUCCAUACAUUAUUUUGCAUUUUCCAUGGUUGAAUCACAAGAAAUCAUGAAGGAUUCAUGGCUGACUGAAUUUAGAGAAAGAAGAUUUGAUGGUUGUUUUGGUUAGAUUUUAAGAUAUUCUAGUGUUUUUAGUUAGUUAGUGAUGUGUAGAAUACUGUGUUUAGACGAUAAUCCGAACAAUUUGCAUCCCAUUUCAUACAUUAGUAUUAAAGACUGAAUUGGUUUUAUAACAAUUUAGCAUAAUGUAGUAAAUGGCUUAUUGUGCAUUAUGUCUAGGUGGUGAGCAUUCUGGCAAAAGUAAAGAGAUAGUACCCGAGGAAUCAAGAAUCGGAGUACUUGGAAUUCGACUCCCGAAAUAGUGAGUAACCUUACUAUCAUCUUAAUUAUCUAAAGUAUAUUUUAUUUGAUUUUGUGAAUUUUAUGGAAAAUGAAUUAAAUGAUUAAUUUUUCAGUUUUAUAAACCAAAUGUGAUUUAAUGAAAUGAUUUCAUAAAAUUGUUUUAAAAUUGAAUGAUGGUUUGAAAAUAGAGUAAUUGGAGACUGUUUUUGUAUGUUGUAAAUUCAUGAAUCUAAUUGAUUAGCUUAUGGCAAUAUUGGUAUGAAUGGUUGAUUUGAUAAAUGUGUUGGAAAUGUAUAAAUUGUUGAUUUGCCUUGCAAGGCUGUAAAAUGAAAUAAAAUAUUUGCCAUGUCAUGCUAUUGCAAAUUUUAUUGAAUUGAUGGGUUAUAUAUUGGUCGCUACAGUGGACAGGUUUCGUGGACCAGCCUAUUAGAGGGGCACGGUAACCUUAUUAUAUUCAUACCUCAGUAUGAGAGGCGCGGUUGGAUAACUUUUGAGGUUAAAACUUUAGAGUUCACUUCACGCCAAACCACCACGUGAGGGUGAACUCAGCCAACGCCAAGGAACGACUAUGUUUUCAAAAUAAAAACAAAAUUUAUGCGUACAUAACUUUUUAACAGCCUUGGCAAACUCGGUUGGGAUAGCCCUCGGCCAAGGUAUCCCUAAUAACUGAGUAUGAGAAUGAUUUUGGCACGAGCUAGAGUUUUAAGAAAUUCAUAAGCCAUGUUGAUUACUCGAUUUAUAUGAAUUGAUUUUAUUUGGUUGAAAUGAGUUGAAAGGUGAUGAAUUACAGUAUGUUUGAAUUUAUUUAGCUUUUACGCUACAAAAACUAUUUACCAGUAACUCUAUAAAUAUUAUUUUAUAAGAAAAUAGAAUAUUUUAUUGAAUAUUUUUAUUAUGUUCACAUAGUUAUAAUUUCACUUAAAAUGAAUGUUUUAGACAUCUAAACUUAUUUUUGAUUAUGAAUUUUGUGUUUUAUACUCGUAUGCUACAUUUUUAACUGGUUUCGAAAUUUUUGAAAAAAAUGACCAAAAUACCCUUGUGUAGUUGAAAUUUCUCUUUGACUGUUUUUGAACUGAAAUUGGUUCAUAUCACUUUAAAACAUGAUUUUAGUAACUAAUACUCGCAGGGGAAGCGAGAAAACUAAUGUUAAGCCUUGCGAGGUAUCGAUUGGCAUUCCGGGUAAUGAAUGUCUAUCGGGACAUCGCGACGAUUAUCACGGGCUCGAUGGGAGUUUCGGGUCAUAACAAGUUCUGCCAUGGAUCUUGUGAAAGCAAGCACUAAGUUAUGUGAUUAUAAAAAGAAAGCUGUAAGCUGAGAGUGAUAUUAGUAUUAAUAUUGAAAAGUACUUAAGGAGAAUCUAGUUUCAAGUUUUACAAUUUUAAGUGCAAUUUAUAAAUUGGUUAAGGGAGAAUGAUGUUAUGUUCAUAUGAAAGACUGGAACAAAGGAUGAUUGAAGUUGACCUUGAUAAUGAAGUCAGAUAAUGAAACUUUCCUAAUAUAUUAUGGAAAUUAGAAUUCGAAAAUGCUUGAGGCAUACAUGAUUCAAAUGAGUUUGAGUUUUAAGUGACAAAUCAAUAUCCGAAUGCAAGAAGGAUACAAGGUAAUGUAGAGGCAUGAAAUAUAAUCGAGGAAUAGGGAUGACUCUUAGGAAUUGUGGUAUUGCAUGAGAUGCAAUGAUGAAGUUAAGAAAAUUUUUGAAGUAUCAAUGGGAUUAUAAAGCAUACACGCAUAAUAGAUUAUAAUUCAAUGGAGAUAACAUUGUGAUGCAAUGAUAUAUAGUACAAGAAAACUUAAGCAUAUAAUUGGAAAUGAUAAGAAGAGAGUAUAAGUAUGUAAUGAUGUGAAACUAUGCACAGGCAUGAUGAGAAUUUGUAUGAAUUACGAAAACUAUUCUAUUGAAUCUUGGUUAUGGAUAGGAAUGAACAAAAAGAAAUUAGUCUGAAGGUAUUUGUAAAGAGAGACCCAUAUAUGUCAAGCCUGACUGUAUAAAAUACUUGCCAUGUCAUUCAUGUGAUUGACAAUAUGCUUGCAUACUAGGAAAGCCCCGAAAACUUGUAAAAAGUCGAUAGUGUACUUAAUAGUACAACUAAGUUGAAUUAAGCCUCGAACUAGAUCAAAUGAAGAUUUUAAGGUGAAAUUUAAAAUUUUAAGUUUUCAGAAUAACUUAAAAUGGUGAUUCAGAGUUUGAGAACCGAUUUGGAGUCAAAUUGGAAUUUUCAUGAUCUGGGGGCAAAAUGGUCAUUUCGCCACCUGAGGUUGAGAUGUGAGAGUUAGAUGAAAUUUUUGACUAAGAUUGAUCAUUUGGGGUAUAAUUUGAGUUUGAGAAGUGAAGAAUUUUAAUUUCGGUGUUUUUCGAGGAUAGGGGUAAAAUGGUCAUUUUGCCACCCCAAGGGCAAAAUGGUAAUUUUACACACCCAACACUUGUCAUGCUGAUAGAAUUCAUCCAUUGACUUUUUAUGUUAUGGAUAAGUGAGGUAAUAUAUGUGAUGGAGAUAAAAAGUUUAAAAUUUUAAAGUUUUAAAAAUGGACCAAUAAUAAAAUGACACUUGUCAAGCUUAGAAUAUUUUAUUAUUUCCUUUAAAAAUUAGCCUAUAAACGUCUCACUUCUCUCCAAAUAUUCGGCCAAGCAAGGAAAAGAGGGAAACAAAGAAAGAACAAGUGGAGAAUUUCAAGAGAAAAAGCGUGGAAAAUCAAGGAAAACAAGUGAAAAAGGUAAGAUUUUUCAAUUUAAACUUGAAAUCUAUUUUCCUUAAGCAUUUCUCCUUAUUUUCCAUGGCUAAAUUUCAUGUUUUCAUGGUGAAUUCAUGGCUAGCCGAAUGGGUAUGGAGAGAGAAUGAUGUUGGAUUGAUUUGAUUUCAAGUUACGUUAGUGUUUUUAGUUAGUUUACCAUGUCUAGAAGCAAAACAAUAAGAAAAGAAUUCAUUUUCCCCAUUGCCCAUCAAUGGCCGAACCUACCUUGUAUUGAGUGAGGAUGAAUUUGAUUUUUAUUUUAAGAGAAUUGGUUAGAAAAUGAUGAAUUAUGGUGUGGAAAAGUAGUAGGAAAAAUUACGGUGUUAAUGCACCAUUAUUGACCGAAAACUCUAAGAAGAAAAGUGAAGAUGGUUUUGCCAAAUUUUAGGUUAUUUGACUUAUGUUUGUUGAAUUAAGGUAUUGGAAAAGAAAUGGAGCAAUUUGGAGCUAAAUUGGACGCAUUGGCCAAUUAAUAGGGUGAUAAGACGAAUUAGGCCAAUACCGAGUUUAGAUGGUUACCCGUGCAUUUUACAUUCCAUAUCAUGCAUUAGUAGUCUAAAUUACUUUAAUUUCGAUUUAGUACCAAUGUAGUAAGUUUCUCGAUUUUGUACUAUGUUAAGGUGGUGAGUCCUCUGAUAAAGGCGAGGAAAUUGCAUCCGAGGACCAGUAGUCAGAGUACUUCGAAAAUCCGCACUCUAGACAUUGUGACUAAACUUACUGUCAUUUUAAUUAUCUAGGGUGGCUUUUAGAUGAUUUUAUGAAUUCUAUGGAAAAAUGGAUUUAAAAAGGUAAAUUUUCAUGUUUUAUGAAUAAAUGUGUUUCAAUUAAAUUAAUUUAUAAAUUGUUUUGAAAUUAAUGAUGGUUUUGAAAAAUAAAGUACACGGAGACUGCUAUUUGUUGCAAUUUGAUUGUUUAAAUUGAUUGGCUUAUGAUAAAUCGGGCAUGAUUGGUUGGUUGGCAAUUGUAUUGAAAUACGGAUUGUUUGUUUGCCUUGAAAGGCUGUGUAUUACAAUAAUUACCAUAUCAUGUUAUUGAAUUUUAUUGAUUGGUGGGAUAAUUAUUAGCUUACUGUAGUAGGCGGGUUCCGAGGACCAACCUAUGAGAGGGGCAUGGUAACCCUGUUUAUAUGUGCUCAGCUCGGUUGUAGAGGCGUGUAGGGCAGCUGUUGAGGUGAUAUUUGAGUUCACUUCGCGCCGAACCACCACGUGAUGGUGAACUCAGCGAACGCCAAGGAAUGACUGUGAUGUCCAACGAAAAAUGUGUUUUAUGCGAAAUGUGAAUUUUUAACAACCUUGGCUAUCUUGGUAGGAUGCCUUGGCCAAGGUGUCCCCGAGGAUAGAUUUAUGGCACAAGCCUAGUUUUUAUGAGAUUCAUAAGCCUCGUUACGUAUUUUGAAUGAAAUGUGUUCUAAUGCUAUGACCCAGUUUACGAUGAUUUAUUUUAUUAUCUUCAUGUACUCAACUUUAGAUGUUUAUGAUGAUGUCUGUUUACUCGCUAGGAUUUUAUAAUCUC